GCUACAAAAAAAUUUUUUUAGUUAUAUUUUUAUCUGGUUGCAAAGCCAUUUUGUAAGUCUAAGGGGAUAAAUCUACACCGUCUCCCCACCACUCCCACGGAAAGAAUUCGGGUGGAAGAGCCGGGGUCACAUUCCUCAGAGUCAGACAGAGCUUCACAUUUUUCCUGUAGCCGGAAUCAACUACAAGUCAACUCACUGCUGCUCUUUAUGCUACCAAACAGGAAGGAGCUCCCUGAGUAAUCAAUGAAUUAAAACUUGAAGCUUGCAGAAGGCAUGCCAAUCACAAAUAUACUUUACAAAACACAAAUUUGGUCAACCCCCCUGCCAAAUUUAUCCAACUAAAAUUGUUCAGCAACUACUAAGUACCACACACCAGGGAUUCUACGGUAAGUGCCUUUAAGGAGAAUUUAAUCAAAUGCACAAACUUAGCUGCAUGUCUUCAUUAAUAAGCUCUGUCAGAUG